rnacentral:rRNA from 1 species
CCUACGGGAGGCAGCAGUAGGGAAUAUUGCACAAUGGGGGAAACCCUGAAGCAGCAACGCCGCGUGGAGGAUGAAGGUUUUCGGAUUGUAAACUCCUUUUGUUAGAGAAGAAAAUGACGGUAUCUAACGGAUAAGCACCGGCUAACUCCGUGCCAGCAGGCGAGGUAAUACGGAGGGUGCAAGCGUUACUCGGAAUCACUGGGCGUAAAGGGCGCGUAGGCGGGAUAGCAAGGCAGAUGUGAAAUCCUAUGGCUUAACCAUAGAACUGCAUUUGAAACUGGUAUUCUAGAGUAUGGGAGAGGUAGGUGGAAUUCUUGGUGUAGGGGUAAAAUCCGUAGAGAUCAAGAGGAAUACUCAUUGCGAAGGCGACCUGCUAGAACAUAACUGACGCUGAUGCGCGAAAGCGUGGGGAGCAAACAGGAUUAGAUACCCGGGUAGUC